AGAUGGUAAAUUCCCUUAGCAGCAGGCAGCAGUGCUAAGUUGGCUUCUGCUUUGGCAGCCUGGAGAGCUUGGAAGAAAAGCCGAGUUAAACUGACCUGACAGAAUAGUCUUCCAAAGAAUAUCUUUUCAUAAUUUUAUCCAUGUUUUAAAAUUGAAUUUAAUAAUUUUAAUCGUUUUAAUAAUUUAACCGAUGGCUUAUCUCAUAAUGCGAUGCUGUCUUCACCCCUCAGCACCCCUUCUGUUUCAAAAUGAGUUCUGGAAGUCUGUGGAAGCCUAAUCUGUCAGCACUCACUAAUCCCCAGGAUCAGCUCUCACAAAGAAGAAACCUUGAGUGAUCUUCAGGGAGAUUAGGUAGGAGGAGGUUUAACUAUACCAAUGCAGCCAGUACCUAGAGCAGGAUGGAGGCCAGAGAAGAUGGUGACCUUGCGUCCUGGAACUCCAUCUCUGUUCUGUGCAGGCAAUGCGAGGACCCAGACCCCAGAUACUCACCAUACAUGGUGGUGCGGAUAGCAGAGGCAGAGAUGAGGGCCUAUCAUCGUUUCUUGGGGAGCUGCACCAGCCUGGAAUACAGAGCAAAUAAAGCACUUCCAGUAAUCAGCACCUCUCCAAAGCUGGACACACGCCUGAUGCCUGCUGUGCUGCAGUCUGCAAACCAUCGAUAGAGUUCUGACAGCUGCCUGGUCCUUCCCUGCCAUCAACUAAGAGAUCCACAUGAAGUCUCCUCCUGGGCUGAUGGACAUAAAGAGAGUAAAUGUUCAGGGCUCAUGUUCACUGUGCUCUGCCAGGGCUGAGUUCUGGGGCCAGGUGCUGAGGUUCCUGUGGAGGGCUCAAAAGCCUUAAGGAACUUUGUGAGAGGGUGGAAGUGUUUCACUUUUGAUGUGUAUCAUGUCAUGAUUAUGUUAAUAUUUAGCAAUUGUACGCUUAAUGUUUGUGCAGUCUGCUUGUAUUCAACAAAAUUCUGUUAGUAUAAAAAUAAAAGGUACAGAGAGCACUUUUCAUUAUGUAAACUAAGGAAGUUUCAUGUUUCCAUCUCCCCACCUCUCUCCCUCUACCCUCUGUAUGUGUAACGUACACAGAUGCAUUCACCUGUGUGGGAAUGUGGAGAGAGUAAAAGUUGAUACCCAAA